ACGGCGCCGUUUUGUGCUGCUGAGGGAACCCUAAUUCCCUUUCUCCUUCGCGAGAGGGCACUUCGCACUUCGCAGCCUCCACAGCUCCACUUCCUCCUCCUCGUUCCUCCAGCCUCCACUUCCUCCUCGUUCCUCCAGCCUCCCAAAGAACAGAACACCACCCAGUCACCGCACUCACCGCACUCACCACCCAGUUGUCAACUCCAGACUCCAGGAGGCCCUCAACGCAGUCACCGCCAUCGCACUCACGCCCUCACCGCCGUCGCACUCACGCCCUCAGCCACUUCGCAUGUCACCUCCGUCGAGCUCUGCCUCUGAGAAAGCAGUAGAGAAGCGUUGAAGCGUUGAAGCAUUGUCCUUCAAGCUCUGAGAGAAAGCAACAGAUUUCCUCAUUUCCAGUGUAGAACAGAGUGAGGACUAAGAGAAAAUUAAAAUUGUGGUUGGAUCGACAAAUUAAAGAUAAGAAUGGCUACAUUAUAUUAUGUUCAGUUAUUCAAUUCAUUGAGUCUUCUUUUUUAAUUGUGUGCCAGUUGUUGUUGAGCAUCUCCAUUUAUUUAUUUGCACUUGUGACAUUUCUUUUAUAAGAAAUUGUACCACUAGUUUUGAAUUUUGUAAGAAUAAUUAAUGUAGUGGAAAUGAAGGUUUCAUUGUUGUUGAGCAUCUCCAUUUAUUUAUUUGCACUUGUGACAAUUCAAUGAGGCAAAUCUGCAGCAAAUUAUGGAGGAUUUUGAUGAUUGAUGACAAACUUGGAUCGUUUUGAUGCUGCUAUGUUAUGUUUGAUUGGUUGUUUGUUGACUUUUGAACUUUGAAUUUGUAUUUGAAUGAGAUUAUAACAUUUGGUUUAUGUAGUACUUUUAAUUUGAAUGAUAUUUUAAAGUUUAGAUUAGACUAUAAUUAUAUUUUCAUGUGCUUAUUUAUAUUUUAAUUAUUAUUUUAUUAUAAAACGGUUUUUACGGUUCAACCACGGUCAAACCGGUUGAACCUAUAAACCAGUGAAC